UGACUGUAGCUGACUUGAGGU
rnacentral:piRNA from 1 species